CUGAGUUUUGAAUGAAGUUGUUCUGGUCUUUCGGGGCAAGUGAACACUUCUCUCAAUCCAUCUUACACCUGUGCACCUAUCGGGGAAGACUUGGAUCUAAGUUGGGUCACGACGGCGAUCUACAGUCUCCUCUUUAUACCAAAUAACAGUUUUAGAAAGUCUUUUUUGCUUGAUGCAAACUUAAAUAAAUA
rnacentral:misc_RNA from 1 species